AAAUUGGAAGAGCAAGUUUCUUGCUGACUUCAGAGAGAGAAGCCAGUCUUUGUUCUUCCUCCCUACCAAGACUUUCCCGCGUCUUCCCCCAAAAAAACAAAAUGAAAGUUUUCUUCCUCCUGAUCAUCUUCUCUAUCGUGCUGGCUACAUGUCAAGGAUACUGUAUGACGACUCUUAUGCUCCCUAAGUAUAAAGAUGGCAAAGUGGUGCCGCAUACCACGUGUCCUGGUAAUGGGAAAAAUCAUCUCGUAGGCUCCGUCUGGUACUCAGGGCAUGGCUUGCGUUGUGAGUGCAAACCGAAUGAAUGGAUGUGUUGCGAAACGUCGGAUGCAACAGUGGAAUCUAUGACACUGCCUCCCAACCUUUAGGGCACCAGGGACCGGAGAGAGGUUUUUCCGUGAACCUGAAGAGAUAUGGUGCUGUCGCCCAUCAUCUGGGAUGCAUCACAGUGGAAAAUCCAGAAUUAUGUCAAUAUGAUUUCGAGAACAUCCACGAUACAUUACAGCGCUGUUAAGCUUGUUAGAUUCUCCUCUCUUCAUACGAGUGAAUUUGAAUCAACCUUUUAUGUUUAAGUGAACCUGAAUAAAUCCCUCCUCUCUAUA